GGCGGCGUGCUUAACACAUGCAAGUCGAACGAAAAGAGGGGAAGAGCUUGCNCUUUUCAGAAUUGAGUGGCAAACGGGUGAGUAACACGUAAACAACCUGCCUUCAGGAUGGGGACAACAGACGGAAACGACUGCUAAUACCGAAUAAGUUCCAAGAGCCGCAUGGCCCAUGGAAGAAAAGGUGGCCUCUACCUGUAAGCUAUCGCCUGAAGAGGGGUUUGCGUCUGAUUAGGCAGUUGGUGAGGUAACGGCCCACCAAACCUACGAUCAGUAGCCGGUCUGAGAGGAUGAACGGCCACACUGGAACUGAGACACGGUCCAGACUCCUACGGGAGGCAGCAGUGGGGAAUCUUCCGCAAUGGACGAAAGUCUGACGGAGCAACGCCGCGUGAGUGAUGACGGCCUUCGGGUUGUAAAGCUCUGUGAUCGGGGACGAAUGGCUGGUAUGCUAAUACCAUAUCAGAGUGACGGUACCCGAAUAGCAAGCCACGGCUAACUACGUG
rnacentral:rRNA from 1 species